rnacentral:rRNA from 1 species
GACGAACGCUGGCGGCGUGCUUAACACAUGCCAGUCGAACGGAAAGGCCCUGCUUUUGUGGGGUGCUCGAGUGGCGAACGGGUGAGUAACACGUGAGUAACCUGCCCUUGACUUUGGGAUAACUUCAGGAAACUGGGGCUAAUACCGGAUAGGAGCUCCUGCUGCAUGGUGGGGGUUGGAAAGUUUCGGCGGUUGGGGAUGGACUCGCGGCUUAUCAGCUUGUUGGUGGGGUAGUGGCUUACCAAGGCUUUGACGGGUAGCCGGCCUGGGAGGGUGACCGGCCACAUUGGGACUGAGAUACGGCCCAGACUGCUACGGGAGGCAGCAGUGGGGAAUAUUGCACAAUGGGCGGAAGCCUGAUGCAGCAACGCCGCGUGCGGGAUGACGGCCUUCGGGUUGUAAACCGCUUUCGCCUGUGACGAAGCGUGAGUGACGGUAAUGGGUAAAGAAGCACCGGCUAACUACGUG